AGAGAGGAGUGAGUUGGAUGGGAGUGAGUGUGUUUCGGGAGGGUCUAGGUCGCGGUCCGGGGCUGAGGCGCCGCGGACCACGAGCCUUCCUUGUGCCUUCAUCGGCUCUCCCGCCCCAGCCCCUCACCGGGCAGAAGCGUGGGAGGUGGAUUAAGUGGGAGCAGUUGAGUGCAAAUUCUAGAGACAUCCUGCCUCCUCAGGAGCCUACCCUGCCAGGCAGCAGAAUUGUGAACUAGAGUGAAGCAGUCUAGGAAUAUGAGCUCCAUGAUGGCCAUGGGUGAACCAAGGCUGAACUGGGAUGUUUCCCCCAAAAAUGGCCUUAAGACAUUUUUCUCUCGAGAAAAUUAUAAAGAUCAUUCCAUGGCUCCAAGUUUAAAAGAACUAUGUAUUUUAUCUAGCAGACGUAUAGGAGAAAAUUUGAAUGCCUCAGCAAGUUCUGUAGAAACUGAGCCGGCAGUUAGUUCAGCAACUCAAGCAAAGGAAAAAGUGAAAACCACAGUUGGAAUGGUUCUUCUUCCAAAACCAAGAGUUCCUUAUCCUCGUUUCUCUCGUUUCUCACAGAGAGAACAGAGGAAUUAUGUGGAUUUGUUGGUUAAAUAUGCAAAAAUCCCUGCGAGUUCCAAAGCUGUUGGAAUAAAUAAAAAUGACUACUUGCAGUACUUGGAUAUGAAAAAACAUGUGAAUGAAGAAGUUACAGAAUUCCUAAAAUUUUUGCAGAAUUCUGCAAAGAAAUGUGCACAGGAUUAUAAUAUGCUUUCUGAUAACGCUCGUCUCUUCACAGAGCAAAUUUUAAAAGCUUGUAUUGAACAAGUGAAAAAGUAUCCAGAAUUCUAUACUCUCCAUGAGGUCACCAGCUUAAUGGGAUUCUUCCCAUUCAGAAUAGAGAUGGGAUUAAAGUUAGAAAAAACUCUUCUCGCAUUGGGCAGUGUAAAAUAUGUGAAAACAGUAUUUCCCUCAAUGCCUGCAAAGUUGCAGCUGUCAAAAGAUAACAUACCUACCACUGAAACACCAGAACAAACAGCUGCAGCUAUGCAUUAUGACAUUAGUAAAGACCCAAAUGCAGAGAAGCUUGUUGCAAGAUACCACCCUCAGAUAGCUCUAACUAGUCAAGCAUUAUUUACCUUAUUAAAUAAUCAUGGACCAAGCUACAAGGAACAGUGGGAAAUUCCAGUGUGUAUUCAAGUAAUACCUGUCGCAGGUUCAAAACCAGUUAAAGUAAUUUAUAUUAAUUCACCACUUCCCCAAAAGAAAAUGACAAUGAGAGAGAGAAAUCAAAUCUUCCAUGAAGUUCCCUUAAAAUUCAUGAUGUCCAAAAACACAACUGUUCCAGUCUCUGCAGUAUUUAUGGACAAACCAGAAGAUUAUAUAUCUGAAAUGGAUUCCAUCUUUGGAAAUGCCCCUUCGAUCCUUGGGAGGGAAAAGAUGUCUUAUGAAGUUAAUGAGUGCCGAAAAAUUGAGACCCAUGAAAAUUUGGAUCUGGAUUUUGAUGAUGACGUCACGGAACUUGAAACUUUUGGAGUAACCACCACCAAACCAUCAAAGUCACCGAGUCCAGCAAGUACUUCCAUAGUACCCAACAUGACAGAUAUGCCCCCAGCCCCCAGCAUAGCAAUCGCAUCUGAGGCACCAACUGCACCAGACAUUACUGCUCAUUCUAGAAGUUUAUCUCAGAUUCUGAUGGAACAGCUGCAGAAGGAGAAACAGCUGGUGACUGGUAUGGACACUGGCCCUGAAGAGUGCAAAAAUAAAGACGAUCAGGGAUUUAUCCCCUGUGGUGAAAAUGUAUCAAAUUCUGAGAAGUCUUUGGUACAAGAUAGUGACUUGAAAACAUCUGAUGCCUUACAAUUAGAAAGUUCUUCAGAAAUUGAAACCUCUAAUAAAAAUGAUAUGGCUUCUGAUAUGGAGUGUGUUGAUGAAAGAGUGAAUGUUCCAGAGAACACAGACAGUAAUUCAAAGGAAAAGACUGUUACAUCAGAAGCAGCUAAAACUGAAGAUGUAAUACUUUGCCAUAGUGAUACAGAUGAAGACUGUUUAAUCAUUGAUACAGAGUGUCAGAAUAAUAGUAAUGGAAAGACAACUGAUAUGGGUUCUAAUUUAAGUUCUAAACCAGCUAGCCUAGAUUCUUCCUCAGGACAGGCUUCUGUAGGAAACCAGACUAAUACUACCUGUAGUCCUGAAGAGUCAUGUGUUUUAAAAAAACCUAUCAAACGAGUAUAUAAAAAAUUUGAUCCAGUUGGAGAAAUUUUAAAAAUGCAGGAUGAACUCUUAAAACCAAUUUCCAGAAAAAUACCUGAAAUGCCGUUGAUGAAUUCAGAAAAUUCUAAACAACCUCCUAGUUCUGAGCAAGCCUCUGCUACUUCAGAUGCCUCUAGUUGGCCAAAAUCUAUAUGGCCUUCUGCGUUUCAGAAGCCAAAAGGACGAUUGCCAUAUGAACUUCAGGACUAUGUUGAAGAUACAUCAGAAUAUGUAGCUCCUCAGGAAGGAAAUUCUGUUUACAAGCUAUUUAGCCUACAAGACCUGUUGUUACUUGUGCGAUGCAGCGUCCAGAGGAUAGAGACCAGACCACGUUCUAAAAAACGGAAGAAAAUCAGAAGACAAUUUCCGGUUUACGUACUACCAAAAGUGGAGUAUCAAGCUUGUUAUGGAGUUGAAGCUCUGACUGAAAGUGAACUUUGUCGCUUAUGGACUGAAAGUUUAUUGCAUUCCAACUGCUCAUUUUAUGUUGGACAUAUUGAUACAUUUACUUCAAAGCUUUUCCUGCUAGAAGAAAUCACCUCAGAAGAAUUAAAAGAAAGACUUUCAGCACUCAAGAUAUCAAGUUUAUUUAACAUCCUUCAACACAUUCUAAGAAAAUUAAGUAGCUUGCAGGAGGGUUCCUACUUGUUGUCUCACGCAGCAGAAGAUUCUUCACUCCUGAUCUACAAGACCUCUGAUGGAAAAGUUACUCGGACAGCGUACAAUUUGCAUAAAACACAUUACAGCCUUCCUGGUGUGCCUUCCAGUCUCUCAGUCCCCUGGGUCCCGUUAGACCCCAGUCUCUUAUUACCAUAUCAUAUCCAUCAUGGAAGAAUACCUUGUACUUUUCCACCUAAGUCACUAGGUCCCACAACACAACAAAAGAUUGGUGGAACAAGAAUGCCUACCCGCAGCCGCAGGAAUUCGGUUUCCAUGGAAACCAAAAGUCUGCCUACUCAGCAAGUUGAAAAUGAAGGAGUGGCUCCAAGUAAAAGAAAAAUAACUUAAGGACUGUACCAUGGAAAACGAAGAAAAACCAGUUAUCACAACAUUCAAUUUAGCAAAGUUUGAGGGGAAAUAUACCUGAAAGAUCUGUAGGCAAGAGGAAUGUUUUUAUUUUACUGUUCUUGAGAGUUUUUAUAGUGCCUCGAAAAUACACAUUGACUAUGUGAAGCAGUGUUCCAACUAAAAUGGAAUGUUGUGCUCUUAACACCUGAUGUUUGAGGAGGCUCCAGAUUGGCAGGGAAAUAAAGAGAGAAGAAAGUAUUUUUAUAGUAGACCUUUUGCAAAAAAUUGUAAGUAGGAAAAUAAUUUGCUUUUUUUCAAGAGCAAUAUUUAUCAUUAUGUAUUAUGUUAAUAAUUUGAGUUGUAUUGCCGGUCUGUUGAGGUUGGCUCAAAAGGUUAAAUCUUGCCACUGUCAGAGAUAAUUUUGAGCUACGUAAACCUUAUUUCUGACCCAUCUGACAGUUUUUAUAUACUACUUUAAAAUGAUGAUUGUUGCAGGUUAAUGAAGUUAAUAUCUUUAAAAACUUGGAGAAAUUCCAUUGCAGAAGCCAAAAAAGGAAAAUAAAAAAUAAAAAACUCUCUGCCUCUAAAAAUUCACAAUACUGAGAAUGUAUAAGCAAGAAAGUGACAUUGGCAGUAUGAGCAAAGAUUUAAAAAAAAAAAAACAGACUCAGUGUUGGCAAGGAUGUGAUGAGCUUGACCCACUUAUAUCUCUGAGGUGAAGGUAUGCAUGAAGAAGAACAUAGCAUCACUUUUGUGGUAUGUUCCUGCCAAAUGUGCGUAAGUUAUAAGGAAAUACCAGAGAAACCCAAAGGCGUAGUCUAUAAAGUGAUUGGUCAGCAAUCUUCAAAACUGACAGGAUCAUGAAAGACAGAGAAACACUGGAGGACUGCUUUACUUAAAGACUAAGUUAAUGGGACUCAUAAUCCUGGUUUGUAUGUAUAGUCCAGUAAAGGACAUUAUUGGAACAACCCGCAAAUCUUGAAUGGAGUUUGUAGAUUACAUGGUAGUAAUGUAUCUAUGUUAAUUUCCUUUGCUGUGGUUAUGUUAGAGCAUGCCUUGUACUUAGGAAAUAAACACUGAAGUAAAAAUUGGUAAUGGAACAUCACGUCUACAACUUAGUCUCAAAUUGGAGGACUUGGGCAGAGAAACGUUAACAGGGAGUCUUGGUGAAAGGUAUAUAGGAGCUAUAUGUACUAUUUCUACAACUUCUUUAUAAAUUUGAGAUUAUUUCAGAAGAGAAAGUUUGUGAAGGGACUACCCUGGUAGCGCAGUGGUUAAGAAUCCGCCUGCCAAUGCAGGGGACACGGGUUCAAGCCCUGGUCCGGGAAGAUCCCACAUGCCGCGGAGCAACUAAGCCCGUGCACCACAACUACUGAGCCUGUGCUCUAGAGCUCGCGGGCCACAACUACUGAAGCCUGCACGCCACAACUACUGAGCCCGUGUGCCAUAACUACUGAAGCCCAUGAGCCUACAGCCCGUGCUCUGCAACAAGAGAAGCCACUGCAAUGAGAAGCCUGCGCACUGCAACAAAGAGUAGCCCCUGCUCGCCGCAACUAGAGAAAGCCCACAUGCAGCAACAAAGACCCAACACUGCCAAAAAUAAAUAGAAAAUUAAUUAAUUAAAAAGAAAAAAAGUUUGUGCAAAAUGUAUUGUUCAGUGUCAGGUAUUAUAGGAAGGUCAAGGAGGAUGAAGACUGAAGGGAAAAGGCUAUUAGAUUGAAUAAUCAAUCAGGCAGAAAGACAAGAAUCUAAAUGAAAUGGCAGGGGGUGGGGGAAUCAGGGACUCCUGUUUUUAGGGUCCCGAGCAUGAAAUUUUCCUUACAGUUCAAAACCCUAAAAACAAAACUUUUCUGCUUUAAAUUCCUACUGUACUUAUUAUAAUACCACAAAAUUUGAAUCUCAGUUGUUACCUAGAUUAUUCUCUUUCAAGUAUUUUUCACAAGUCCCUAAACAGACUGUAAGCUCCUCGCAGGCAACGAUUAUGUUUUUAUACAGCUGUGUGUCUAACCCAAGACCAAGCACAGGGCGAGGCAGCCUCCAGAUGCUGCAUCAACACCCACUAAAUUGUGCUGAUACCUCCCCAUUUACCAGCAUGCGGCUAAGUUGUCUCUAACUCAGUCUUAGAUCCCUUACUCAUAAGGGCAAGUCUAUGGGCAGCUAUGAGCCCUGCACAAGAAAAGAAAUUUUAAAACUUGUAUUUAGGGAAACCCUUGGUGGUCCAGUGGUUAGGACUCCACACUUUAACUGCUGAGGGCCCAGGUUCGAUCCCUGGUCUGGGAACUAAGAUCCCACAAGCAAGCAAGCAAUAAAUAAAUAAUAAAAAUAAAAAUAAAAACUUGUGCUUAUUAAAGGCCAUGCCAGUCACCUCUCAAGAAAGACUGAAGUUCCAUGUUUUGGAUACAUUUUUACAAUACUGUCUAACUCGCAAUGUUACUAUAUGUCAUUUAAGAGCAACAAGGUAAGUAUAAAUUCAGGUUAGAUUUAACAAUUUGGAAGACCCUGUAUUUAAAACCUCUUAAAAACAUUCUAUCUAGCACCCAAAGCUUGUUUGGACAUGAAUAUGUAAUCUGUGAUUCUUUCUGCGGCAGAAAAACAAAAAACAAAAAACUUCCCUUGUCAAAGAGUGAGACCCAUGUCCAGUCGCCGGCAUGCUGAAAAGAAGCCUGCUCCCCAACUGUGGGGUUGUGUGAAUGCCAGUACCAAAUAUGCCUGCCACAUUUGUGAGAAUGUGACCGAGCCAAUGAGAUAGAAGGUGCAGAUCUUAAAUAUACUGGAGUUGGACACGUCAGAAAUGGGUAAUAAGUACUACAGAUCCUCACACAAGAAUUAGGAUUUUUCCAGACACUUAACACCUAAGUAAUAUUUGUAUAUAUGUUGUGGAAAAUGCUGCUUGAAGGAAUGAUAGAGGCUGAGAGAGUUUGAAAUAUUUAUCCUCUGACUUGCCGAACCAUAAAAAUGCAACAAAAUGCACUGAGAAAUCCGGAGGAAAGCAGUCCAGGACUGAGUUGAUGGUUUCACACUCAUCAGGAAAAGAGCCUCCUCCUGACUGUUUGCCCUGAGCUUUUGUUUUCAUCCUCCAGUUUUUUGAUCUCCAUCCUUUGUGCCUACUUUCCAUCUUCCAGUUUUCCUCAAGGUCCACAGUAACUGAGGGAGCUCCAGACAUCACAUCAAGUAUGAAGCAAAGGAAGUAGGAGAAAAAAGGGUGUUCAGCAAAAAAAACCCAGACCAAACCAAACCAAACCAACAAACUAAAACAAACAACAGUAAAAACCCCAUGUCAAUUGUCUGUUUUCUCUUUAAGGAGAUUUUCUUGAAGCUGAAAACUGCAAUCUUUUAGCUGAGUAUGUUGUUGCCCACUUUAAAGAAAAGGUUGCUAAGGAAAAAAAAAUCAGAAUGUAUAUUGAGUCAGGAAUUUGGAUUUUCUAUGAUAGCUUCCACACGCGCGCUCCCUCUCUCUCUCUCUCUCUCUCUCUCUUUCUCUUUCCCUCCCAGGUAGCAAUUACUUAACUUGAUCCACAAUACCCACAAUUCCUGCUCCCAAAAGCCAAAUAUUUUCAACACUUGUAGUUAUGUCUUGUGGAGAUUCACCACUAUAUUUUUAAAUAACAUGCCAAUGUUUCUUAAUUUUUCAGUUUUAAGUAGUAUCUAUUGUGUACUAAUGGAAAAUAAGGUCUUUUACUCCUCACCUACAGUAUACACACAGAAUCUCAAAAUGGUUACAUUAUU